rnacentral:rRNA from 1 species
UACGUAGAAGACUAGUGUUAUUCAUCUUUAGUAGGUUUAAAGGGUACCUAGACGGUAUAAUUAGUCUUAAAUAGGAUACGGUUAUACUAGAGUUAUAUACGAGGAGGUGAGUAUUUAUGGAGUAGAGUUGAAAUUCUUUGAUACCAUAACGACUGAUAACGGCGAAAGCAACCUUUUAUCUAAUAACUGACGUUGAGGGGACGAAGGCUCGGGUAACGAACAGG